rnacentral:rRNA from 1 species
UCAGUGGGCGGUGUGGCAAGUCGGGAGUGAAAUCUCUGGGCUCAACUCAGAGGCUGCUUCCGAAACUGCUGUGCUUGAGUGUGGGAGAGGCGCGUGGAAUUGCAGGUGUAGCGGUGAAAUGCGUAGAUAUCUGCAGGAACACCCGUGGCGAAAGCGGCGCGCUGGACCACAACUGACGCUGAAUGACGAAAGCUAGGGGAGCAAACAGGAUUAGAUACCCUGGUAGUCCUAGCCCUAAACGAUCAGGACUUGGGGUGCCGCACGUUCGUGCGUCGUCCCGGAGCUAACGCGUUAAGUCCUGCACCUGGGGAGUACGGUCGCAAGACUGAA